GACGAACGCUGGCGGCGUGCCUAACACAUGCAAGUCGAGCGGUCCAGCACUCAAGCUUGCUUGGGUGCUGGGUAGCGGCGAACGGGUGAGUAACGCGUGGGUGACCUGCCCGGGAGACCGGGAUAACAGUUCGAAAGGGCUGCUAAUACCGGAUGAUCCCGGCACUUGGUUGAGUGCUGGGCAAAGCGCUUUAGCGCUCUCGGAUGGGCCCGCGUCCCAUUAGCUAGUUGGUAGGGUAAUGGCCUACCAAGGCGACGAUGGGUAGCCGGUCUGAGAGGAUGGUCGGCCACACUGGGACUGAGACACGGCCCAGACUCCUACGGGAGGCAGCAGUGGGGAAUUUUGCGCAAUGGGGGAAACCCUGACGCAGCGACGCCGCGUGGGUGAAGAAGGCCUUCGGGUUGUAAAGCCCUGUUGGGGGGGAAGAUAGUGACGGUACCCCCUGAGGAAGCCCCGGCUAACUACGUG
rnacentral:rRNA from 1 species